UCUAUUAUGGCAGAUAAGUGCACUGGGUUUAAGCUCCAAUUAUAAAGCUUAAAGCUUUUUUUAGAA
rnacentral:tRNA from 1 species